UGGCCCCCCAGUCGCCCCCCAGCCACCCUCAGCAGCCCCCCCUCCGCCUGGACCUCGUGGACACAGCCGUGGUCGCCCGGCAUCGCCCCCGGGGACCCGAAAGCCCCCCCAGCAACCGCUACGCCGGCGACUGGAGCAUCGAGCUGGGGAGAUACGAGGAGGUGACGAGCGGCGACAGUCGUGUCGCGAAUCGCCGGACCCUUAUCGUGACCGAUUUUGGUCUCGGCGACGAAAGCGAUUCGUCGUUCGCUCCGAUGCUUAACCUCAAAGACUUCGAUGCUCUCAUCCUCGACCUCGAGAGGGAGUUGGCCAAACAGAUCAACGUCUGUCUGUGAUGCCGGUACCGAGCAAAACGACACCGGUACCGAGCCAACGACACCGGCACCGACAACACCGGCACCGAGCAAAUGACACCGGCACUGAGCAAACGACAGCAGCACCGAGCAAACGACACCGGCACCGAGCAAACGACACCGGUACUGACAACACUGGUACCAACAACACCGGCACCGAGCAAACGACACCGGUACCGAGCAAACGACACCGGCACCGAGCAAACGACACCGGCACCGAGCAAACGACACCGGUACCAACAACACCGGCACCGAGCAAACGGCACCGGCACUGUGCAAACGACACUGGCACCGAGUAAACGACACCGGAACCAACAACACUGGCACCGAGCAAACGACACCGGUACCAAGCAAAACGACACCGGCACCGAGCAAAUGACACCAGUACCAACAACACCCGCACCGAGCAAAACAACACUGGUACCAACAACACCGGCACCGAGCAAACAACACCGGCACUGUGCAAACGACAGCGGCACCGAGCAAACGACACCGGCACUGAGCAAACGACACCGGCACCAACAACACCGGCACCGUGCAAACAACACCGGUACUGAGCAAACGGCACCGGCAUCGAGCAAACGACACCAGUACCAACAACACCGGCACCGAGCAAACAACACCGGUACCGACAACACCGGCACCGAGUAAAUGAUACCGGCACCGAGCAAACGACAUCGGCACCGAGCAAAUGACACCGGUACCGACAACACCGGUACCGAGCAAACGACACCGGCACCGAGCAAAUGACACCGGCACUGACAACACCGGUACCGAGCAAACGACACCGGCACUGAGCAAACGACACCAGCACCAAGCAAACAACAUCGGCACCAAUCAAACGACACCAGCACCAACAACACCGGUAACGAGCAAAACGACACCGGCACUGAGAAAAUGACACCGGCACCGUGCAAACAACACCGGUACCGACAACACCGGUACCAAGCAAAUGACACCGGCACUGAGCAAACGACACUGGCACCGAGCAAAACAACACCGGCACCGAGCAAACGACACCGGAUCAGGAAAAAAAACCCAAAAAAAACCCGACACCGGCACCGUCGAGUGAGCGACCAAAAAAAACCCCAAAAAUCGGCACUCGCCUUCGUUUGCCUUGGGUUUGCACAGCGACAGACGGAAGGGAAGCCGGCAGCAGGAGGUGAUGGAGCCUUUGUGGGACCCCAGACCCACCGGGUUGGACCCCCCACCCAACCCCCGUU
rnacentral:lncRNA from 1 species